UUUACUUGCGAUUUUAUGAUUUUUAUUUAAAAAAUAUUACUUCCGAUUUUACGAUUUUACGAUUCGAGUUUACGAGUCGAGUUUAUAUUGUAUGUUCCGUGUCGUGUUAAAAAAAGCGUUUUUAACAACCUUGCUCAUCCAACAAGCUUUUGCAU